GUGGCAGCCGCCGCGGUAAAACCAGCACCUCAAGUGGUCAGGAUGAUUAUUGGGCCUAAAGCAUCCGUAGCCGGCUUUGUUAGUUUUCGGUUAAAUCCAUGUGCUCAACACAUGGGCUGCCGAAAAUACUGCAUGGCUAGGGAGUGGGAGAGGUAGACGGUACUCAGUAGGAAGGGGUAAAAUCCUUUGAUCUAUUGAUGACCACCUGUGGCGAAGGCGGUCUACCAGAACACGUUCGACGGUGAGGGAUGAAAGCUGGGGGAGCAAACCGGAUUAGAUACCCGGGUAGUCCCAGCUGUAAACGAUGCAGACUCGAUGAUGCAUUGGCAUAAUAGCCAGUGCAGUGUCGCAGGGAAGCCGUUAAGUCUGCCGCCUGGGAAGUACGUACGCAAGUAUGAAACUUAAAGGAAUUGGCGGGGGAGCACCACAAGGGGUGAAGCCUGCGGUUCAAUUGGAGUCAACGCCAGAAAUCUUACCCGGAGAGACAGCAGAAUGAAGGUCAAGCUGAAGACUUUACCAGACAAGCUGAGAGGUGGUGCAUGGCCGUCGCCAGCUCGUGCCGUGAGAUGUCCUGUUAAGUCAGGUAACGAGCGAGAUCCCUGCCACUAGUUGCUAUCAUUAUUCUCAGGAAUAGUGGGGCGAAUUAGUGGGACUGCCGUUGUUAAAACGGAGGAAGGAAGGGGCUACGGCAGGUCAGUAUGCCCCGAAACUCUGGGGCCACACGCGGGCUGCAAUGGUAGUGACAAUGAGUUCCAAACUCGAAAGAGAGUGGCAAUCUCUAAACGCUACCACAGUUAUGACUGAGGGCUGUAACUCGCCCUCACGAAUAUGGAAUCCCUAGUAACCGCGUGUCAUUACCGCGCGGUGAAUACGUCCCUGCUCCU
rnacentral:rRNA from 1 species